AUUGGCUUUCUGACAUUGAAUUGUAAUCCAGGUUUUGUAGCUCUGUGGGAGAGAGGACUGUUUCUGAUUCUUUCUUUUGAGGUGAGGUUUCCCUUCUACUCAUUUUGCUCAGUGCAGAGUGGCCAAAAGCAAGUUGUAUUGGGAAAAGGAGAAAAAGAGGAGAGAGAGAAGGAAAGAAAAGAGAAAGAGAAAAAAAAGGAAGAAAAAAAAAGAAGAAAAAGAGAAAGAAAAAGAAAGAAAGGAAAAAAGGGUGGGGGAAGGAAACAAAUCAAAAAGCAAAACAAAACAAAACAAAAGAAAACAGGAAAAAAAAUCACAGGGGAGUAUCUUCUGAUUCUGUGUACUUUAAGUCCCUUGACUUCCCCUGGAACUUGUCCGUCUAGCUGGUGUUCUGGGGGAGGGGCCUGUUGUGCUGAUUUUCAGGUGUUAGCAGUUGGGGGAGCUGCUGUGCCCCUGCCUGGUGCAGGGCUCCUUGGGGGUUGUUCACCCCGUGAGGCCCCAGGAGGAACAACCGCAGUGGCGGCCAGCUCUGCAGCCCUGGAUUCAGCCCCCGCAGUAGCUCCAGAGCUCUCCGUCUGCAGGGCCUGGAGGCUCCGGGCGGGGCCGCUGAUCUGCUCAGCUCGGGGCAGGAGCGUCCUCGCGGUCCUGGGCCCUCCUGGCCUCUGCCUGUCCCGGGGGAGGCCGGAUCCUGGGCUGUGUCCCGGCGCCCAGUGCUCCCGGGCCUGCGCUGUUGGAUUCGGGCUCCCGCCCCCAGCCCCCUCCGCGGAGCCGCCCCCGAGCCCCCCGAGCUGCUCCCGCCCCGCAGCCCCCUCCGCGGAGCCUCCGCCCGAGCCCCUCCGAGCUGCUCCCGCCCCGCAGCCCCCUCCGCAGAGCCGCCCCCGAGCCCCCCGAGCUGCUCCGGGUCCCCCGUGCGCGCUGCAGCCCUUAGGGAGCUCGGGGCGCUCUCCCGGGGCGCAGGUGCCUGUUACUGUCCCCUCGAGCCCGAGGGCAUCCCCGCCCUCCUGGGUCCUGCUCCAACCCCCUGCGAGCCCCUUUCCCCCCGGGAAGGUCUGUGCAGCUCCUGCUCCUCCGGGACGGGGCUCUCCUGUCCUGGGGACACUCGCCCCGGCCUCAGCCCGGCUCCUCGCGGGGCCCCUCCCUCUUGGAGGCCUUUGUUUCUUUAUUUCUUUUUUCCCGUCUUCCUACCUUGAUAGAAGCGCGAACUCUUCUCACUGUAGCAUUCCAGGUGGUCUCUCUUUAAUUCUCAGGCCGAAUUCGUAG
rnacentral:lncRNA from 12 species